rnacentral:lncRNA from 10 species
AUAUGGUGGCGGGCACCUGCAGUCCCAGCUACUCGGGAGGCUGAGGCAGGAGAAUGGCGUGAACCCGGGAGGCGGAGCUUGCAGUGAGCCGAGAUCGCGCUACUGCACUCCAGCCUGCGUGACAGAGCGAGACUCCGUUUCAAAAAAUAAAUAAAUAAAUAAAUAAAUAAAUAAAUAAAUAAAUAAAACAGGUUGCAGUGAAGAAGCCGGUUAAAACCCACCAAGACCAAGAUGGCGACGAGAGUGACCUCUGGUCGUCCUCACUGCUACACUCCCACCAGCUUCAUGACAGUUUACAAAUGCCAUGGCAACGUCAGGAAGUUACCCUAUGUGGUCUAAAAAGGGGAGGCAUGAAUAAUCCACCCCUUGUUUAGCAUAUCAUCAAGAAAUAAUCAUAAAAAUGGGUAACCAGCCACCCUCGGGGCUGCUCUGUUUAUGGAAUGGUCAUUCUUUCAUUCCUCUACUGUCUUAAUAAACUUGCGUUCACUUUAUGGACUCGCCCUGAAUUCUUUCUUGCGUGAGAUCCAAGAACCCUCACUUGGGGUCUGGGUAGGGACCCCUUUCCUGUAACACUAUCAUUCUCAAGUUUUUUUUUUUUUUUUUUUUUGAGAUGGAGUCUCGCUCUGUCACCCAGGCUGGAGUGCAGUGGCACG